rnacentral:tRNA from 1 species
GCACUAGUAGCUCAGCGCCUGUAAGCACCGGUCUUGUAAACCGGUUGUCGGAGGUUUAGUCCCCCCUACUGCU